rnacentral:misc_RNA from 1 species
ACUCCGCUAGCACCGCAUCGACCGCAUUUCGUUCGUUCGUUCGUUUUAAUGGUUUUAUUACGACACACAAAUGUAAACUUUGGCAUUAGGAAGGCUAGGCUUUCGAAAAAGACCUUUGACGCUUUUCAAGUGCCAACUGUUUUUCUUGUUUUUUGUCGUCAUGGCAACGCUUCUGUGGUGGUGUGAUGGAGGAGGGAGCAGUUUACUGCACACCGACGCUGACAUCGAAAAAGAAAAGGCGCGCACAAGAAAAGCUGCUGCGUUCGCCCGUGGCGUGUGCCCUCCUGCCAGCCAUUAGCCUGCUGGCAGUGCCAGGAGCCAGCCUGGAGCCAGCCCGCCCAAACAUGUCGGGGCCCUCGCCGGGCAAGACCUCUCGCUUUCCUAUUGCUGUGGAUAUUCCUGUUCCACCAGAGCGACGAACGUCAGCUAUCAAUAUCGUCACUAACCCCAGCUUUGAUGGUGGCUUGGAACAGCCCCAAGAAGAAGCUCUUUAUUCUACAAUUCAGCCAAAACACGAGUGUGGAUCUAGUCCUGGAACACCACCUCCCCCCCUGCCUCCAAAACAGCUUGAGGUUCUCUACACCAAGCCUAUUAAGCCAAAGAAAUCUAAAUCAAGGGAAGGGUCUCGAGGCUCCAAGGAUUUUGGAAAUGGAAAGGAUGGCCCUCAACUCUGGAAACUGCACAUAUCGCAAGAGAGCCCCCCAAAGCCUUCACAGAGCUCCUCUGGGUGCAAUUGUCAGCAGUUGGCAUCAUUACUCCAGGACAACUAUGCUAUGAAGCAUGAACUGCUAACCUACAAGGAUCGGAUAAAAUCCCUUACGACUAAACUAAAACAGUUUGAAGGAAUAUCGGAAGUCAUGAAGGAGCUUCAACAGAGUGUUGAAAGGGUAUCAGAAGAAAAUAAAAGGCUCAAGCAGUAUGAGAAAUGCAUUACAGAGGCCAAGACUACAGAACAAGAGAAGCAUGACCUUUUUGAGCAGCUCAAGGACGCACAGUCACAGUACAAGUAUGAUGUGGACCACCUGAGCCAGCAGGUGAGCCAGCUGGAGCGUGAGAAGCAAGAGCUGGAAGGGGCCUUAGCCAAGUUACAGCAGGAGCAUGACCAGCUGCUCAUCUCCACUCAGAACUCUGUCUCCUUCCAGUUCCACACAACAGCUAUGCUUGAAGUCAAGAGGCUUUUAGAAGAGCUCAAACAAAAGUACCAAAAUGACAAGGAAAAUCUCACAGUUAAGGUCCAGCUGGCCGAACAAGAACGGCAGGAGCUGAAACAGCAGCUGGUACAGCUGGAAGAAGAAGUGGGAUGGCUACGGAGUGACCAUAGUGCUCUCUCAGGUGCCUACCGCCGAGCUGUUCGCCAAAACCACACAUUAGUCACCCAUCUUCGUGAACUUCAGGAUGAUGACUCUGAGAUGCACUCACUCCUGUCAUCACUUCUUGUCACUGCUCACCAAGUAGUUUCUGAACGAGACAGCUUAGAAAUAAAGAACGAGGAAAAGGAGAAAGAAUGCCAACGCAUGUUGGAACUCCUUGGACAGCAUAAUGUGGAUAUAGAUCAGUUGAACAAAUAUCUCAAGGCGAGAAGUAGAGGGAAACCUUCAGGAAGAAUAUGAACAGCAGAUAUCUCACCUGCACACAAAGGUGGAGCAGAAGCAGCAAGAACUAGAAAGCGUUCAUAGAGAAAAAAGGAAGCUGGAGAGAGAGCUCGAGCAGCUGUGGCAGGUAUUUGCCCAUGAAACUGAACUUAAGGCAUUGCCAGGUGACACAGCACAAGCUUUUGCUCUUCAUCAGCUUGCAUCACAAAACUAAACCUGUGCAAUUUACAGUAAUAUGAAAGCAAUCCAAUGUGGGCCUUUCUCACAACUGUGUGUUCUUGGCAUGUGAUUUUAAGCAUUCAAUGCUGAUCUACAGUUGAAUAUAUUGUUUACAAAAACUAAACAAAAAACUGUUGAAAUACUUACUGCAGCUGAAAGUACUAAAAGACAGCUAGCACAGUUACAACAGUGAACUGGCACUGCUAAAUGUAUGUUGGGCAUAUACCUUGCUUCAUGUCAGCCAGACGGGAAGCUUGACAUGUGCUACAGAUGCCAUGAUCCAGGACUUUAGUGAGGGAAGUUGGUAGCACAAAACAACGUAAACCCUGGAAAUAACCUUCCAGCCUUUAUUAGAUGAACACCAGACCAUGAAUUUCCUUGUAGAUUGUGUGGAUGAGUCUGCGUACGUGUACACUCGGUACCUCUGUAUGCUCCUUUGCACAAAUGAUGUACUGUCGCGCUCAGUACGACUUGCAAAACGGGAGCACGUGGCCCCGCAAGCUCUAACAUUGCGCACAGCUUCAAAUUGUUCUUUUUCGCACAACUAAUGAUAUGAUCUCAUUUGGGAUCCCCAAUUGAGAGAACUGUGUGUAGUUGGGGAAAUAAGGGCUAGCGGAAGCUAUGUGCAAUGUUUAAGCUAGUGAGGCCACAUGUUCCCGUGCUGCAAGUCAUACUGAGCGCAACUGUACAGUUAUGCAAAGGUCUGUCUUAUCUAAAUUUAUUGUCUUAAGGAAAACCAUGUUACGGACUGCCAAAACAUACUUUGGCACCUUAUUGUGUAUUAUUACAAUUGUAACAUAGCAUUUAUUGCACACAUGAAUGUUCCCCUUCGAAAACAUUGUUUGAAAAGAGUAAUGUGCAUCAAAUGUUUUAAAAAGAAUAGCAUCUCCCUGGCAGCAGAUGGUGCUAUGUUGCUAUAGUGCACUUUGAUUUACAUGAACAAGACAAACAGUACGACACAAUGAAUAAUGAUUUCAGAUAAAGCAUGCUUGCAACAAUCGCCCCUGUUCAUUUUCAGAGCAACAAUGCAGUAUAUUAGGAAUAAAACUUGUGUUCCCUUCCGAUAACAAUGGUCAUAAUUUGGCCAAGCACAGGACCAACUAUCCUCUCUCAACAAUACUGUCAGCAUUAAGCAAAAAUAAUUGCAACAACUGUAUGCUACAUAAACAAGUGCAGAAACUAACACUGCAUAGGCAUUGUAGUGGUUACGUUGGCUUUCCUAAUGAACAUUGGAGUUUAACAUGAUGGCACUCCGCACUUACUUCCAUAUAAAAAAAAAGCAAUAGGUGCUUUAAGCAGCACACUAUUUCAGUUUCAAUCCAUUUCAACUCGACAGUAUACACCUUUCUACUCACCAUGGGAAUGGUGAGCAGAAAGAUGUAUACAGUAAUGCCAAUUCACACCAUAAAAAGUAAUGCCCCAAAAGAAUACAAACCAUAAAUUAGCAGAUAUGUCAACCUGACAAAGCUGAACAGAAUAAUAACAAUCUGCAAGCUCCUUUUUGUGCAGCAGUGUUUCCAGAGACUUCCUGCUCGUUUAUACUGUCUGUACUGCACUCAUAUUAUCACAAACUUACCUCUGUUAUUUGCUUUUUUGUUGUAUCUUUGAAGACUGCCAUGUCAUUUUUCACCUAAAAAAAAGCACUAGGCACUUUGAGAAGCUAACUGAAUUCAGUUUCAACCCGGUUUAGCACCAGAAUGCAGAAGUAUAAAAAAUUAUAUUGUGGACAAAAAAUAAGAUGGCCCAGCAUUUUAUUUGCAGCAGAAUUGAAAUAGGGGUAUUAUAAUUUUCCUGCAAUUCUCCAAUUGAACGUGCUGCAUUGGCAUCAUUUCCUGGUAUUAGUUGGCAUGCUUGAAUGUCGGGUGUAGCACAAUGCCCCAGAGGACAGUGGAAUCGUGCGAUUUAACACUGCCACUGUGUGUGUUGGAGUUGCCAAGAAGUGGCAGUAUGGGAGCGUUAGGCAAAGCGAGAAUGCUGACAAGAUUUUGGGAGCAGGAAAUAGCUGCAAGCAACCUAUGAUGUCAAGCAUUCCAUUAAAAUUUUGAUCUUUUUACGCAAACAGUACAACAGCACGACAAAAAGACCCUUCUUAUUUCCAUGCCUGUCUGAAAACUGAUGCAUAAAUUACAGUAAAACUGCAUAAGCAAGUUCGCACCCUUUGGAUGUAUAUAUACUAGGAGUCCAUUUGAUGGCUCAUGGCCUCGUUCAAAUGGGAGCUGCCAAGUUACAUGUACUAUCGUGGCUGGCUGUUUUUAGCAACUGCUACCACAGAGGUAGCAUUGCAGUACCGUGUUGUGUUCCACCACUUCAUAUGUGCAAACUUCUAGUCGACCUACAACGUGGAGGUGUUGAAAGACGCGAGAAACAAAAGUUACAAAUUAUGCCUACAAGUUUAUUUGAAUGAUGUAUACUUGCAAAUAGCAAAUUCGGGGCUUUAGCACACAUAUUGAGUACAUCAGCUGUCAAACACGCCCACCAGCUUUUGCCACAUGAAAACUAUCACAAAACCCCCUUAAAAGCUUUACUUUAAAAAUCUGCAUUCACAUGCAGCUGUAACCAAUAAUGGGCUUUCUAGAGCUAGGCACUCAUGGUUUUUCUAUUUAUUGAAGUUGGAAGCCUUUGCUUGCAUGUCUGUUUCUUCAUGUUCUGGUCAUAUUGUGCAGCUUCCUUAAUAGUAGUCGACCAUUUUUAUGAAGGAACCAGAAAUGUUGCAGUUUGUAAAUAAAAGUUUUGCCAAGGUUAGAACCACAUAGGCACUCGGGGUAGUGGUAGCAUUUACUUAUACGGCAUUACAGAAUAACAACCUCAAGGAGCAAACUGGCAUGCCUUGGCCAUCUUGCAGCCAUUGAAUUUGGUUCCUUAUGCUGUGCGGGGAGAGAGCUUUGAACUGAACAGUGUUCAUUUUCCCAUGUUGCAUUUGUCGCAUCCCAUUCCCCCAUUAGGACACCUUGGGACUGAAGUGCAAUUCAGCACUUUAUGCAAGUGAUGUGCACCCAGUGACUUUAUUUUAUACUUGUUCACAUGAACGAUGAAUAAACAUUCUUUCUCACCUCGA